GAUGAACGCUGGCGGCGUGCCUAAUACAUGCAAGUCGAGCGAACGGACGAGAAGCUUGCUUCUCUGAUGUUAGCGGCGGACGGGUGAGUAACACGUGGAUAACCUACCUAUAAGACUGGGAUAACUUCGGGAAACCGGAGCUAAUACCGGAUAAUAUUUUGAACCGCAUGGUUCAAAAGUGAAAGACGGUCUUGCUGUCACUGAUAGAUGGAUCCGCGCUGCAUUAGCUAGUUGGUAAGGUAACGGCUUACCAAGGCAACGAUGCAUAGCCGACCUGAGAGGGUGAUCGGCCACCAUGGAACUGAGACACGGUCCAGACUCCUACGGGAGGCAGCAGUAGGGAAUCUUCCGCACUGGGCGAAAGCCUGACGGAGCAACGCCGCGUGAGUGAUGAAGGUCUACGGAUCGUAAAACUCUGUUCUUAGGGAAGAACAUAUGUGUAAGUAACUGUGCACAUCUUGACGGUACCUAAUCAGAAAGCCACGGCUAACUACGU
rnacentral:rRNA from 1 species